GCCUUCGUGGUCUAGUUGGUUAUGACGUCGGUCUCAUACCUUAAUAUGACAUUCUUGGUAACAAGAUUGACAUCCGAAGGUCUCCAGUUCGAACCUGGACGAGGGCA
rnacentral:tRNA from 1 species